rnacentral:rRNA from 1 species
UGUAAGUCGAGUGCGCGAUAACCAAUAAAUACGGAAAUGGCGCACGGCGCACGGGUGCGUAACACGUGGGUAAUCUGCCCUCUGAUGGGGAAUAACCCGCCGAAAGGCGGGCUAAUACCGCAUAACAUUCCUUGGACUCCGGUUCGAGGAUUCAAAGGCGUAAGUCGUCGGAGGUGGAGCCCGCGCACGAUUAGCUAGUUGGUGAGGUAAUGGCUCACCAAGGCUUUGAUCGUUAGCUGGUCUGAGAGGAUGGCCAGCCACACUGGAACUGAGACACGGUCCAGACUCCUACGGGAGGCAGCAGUGGGGAAUCUUGCACAAUGGGCGAAAGCCUGAUGCAGCGACGCCGCGUGGGGGAUGAAGCUUCUCGGAGUGUAAACCCCUUUCGACCGGGACGAAUACCUCGCAAGAGGGGUGACGGUACCGGUAUAAGAAGCCCCGGCUAACUACGUGCCAGCAGCCGCGGUAAGACGUAGGGGGCCAGCGUUGCUCGGAAUUACUGGGUGUAAAGGGUUCGUAGGCGGUGUGGCAAGUCGGGAGUGAAAUCUCUGGGCUCAACCCAGGGGCUGCUUCCGAAACUGCCGUGCUAGAGUGUGGGAGAGGCGCGUGGAAUUGCAGGUGUAGCGGUGAAAUGCGUAGAUAUCUGCAGGAACACCCGUGGCGAAAGCGGCGCGCUGGACCACUACUGACGCUGAGGAACGAAAGCUAGGGGAGCAAACAGGAUUAGAUACACUGGUAGUCCUAGCCCUAAACGAUCAGGACUUGGGGUGCCACCCGUUCGGGUGUCGUCCCGGAGCUAACGCGUUAAGUCCUGCACCUGGGGAGUACGGUCGCAAGACUGAAACUCAAAGGAAUUGACGGGGGGCCCGCACAAGCGGUGGAAACAUGUGGUUCAAUUCGACGCUACGCGAGGAACCUUACCUGGGGCUCGAA